rnacentral:rRNA from 1 species
UACGGGGGGGGCAAGCGUUGUUCGGAAUUACUGGGCGUAAAGGGCUCGUAGGCGGCCAACUAAGUCGGACGUGAAAGCCCUCGGCUCAACUGAGGAACUGCGUCCGAUACUGGAUGGCUUGAGAUCGGGAGAGGGAUGUGGAAUUCCAGGUGUAGCGGUGAAAUGCGUAGAUAUCUGGAGGAACACCGGUGGCGAAGGCGGCAUCCUGGACCGACACUGACGCUGAUGAGCGAAAGCCAGGGGAGCAAACGGG